UACGUAGGGGCCUAGCGUUGUCCGGAUUUAUUGGGCGUAAAGAGCUCGUAGGCGGUUUGGUUAGUCAGGUGUGAAAUCUCCACGCUCAACGUGGAGGGGCCACCUGAUACUGCCAUGACUUGAGUCCGGUAGGGGAGUGUGGAAUUCCCGGUGUAGCGGUGAAAUGCGCAGAUAUCGGGAGGAACACCCGUAGCGAAGGCGGCACUCUGGGCCGAUAUUGACGCUGAGGAGCGAAAGCGUGGGGAGCGAACAGG
rnacentral:rRNA from 1 species